rnacentral:lncRNA from 1 species
ACUAAAUGUUAGCAGGUACCCCCACUUCAGUGGUGUUUUAUUAAUAUGCAAUGAUACAUAGCAGAAAGCAAAAGCAAACUGGCUUGGAUGUUACCCAAGUUAACAAGGUCUGCAUCUGUGAGUUAGGCAGAAGCUCACAUUCGGAAAGUUUACUACAGUCUUUCUUAGCAACUGGUAGCAAAAGCAGCACCAACUCAAGUCUGGCUACUGCAAUACACAAAUCCACAGUAGAGAACAGGUUACCAUAUCAGAGCCCAACCAGCCAAAGUGCUUCCUAGGCAACUCAGUCAGAGACCACCAAGGCUGGAAAACCAUGCCAACGCAUGAAAUGGACAACAGACAUGAACGAAUUCAUCAUGCGUAUAUACUACACAAUUACAAAAUUAGAAACCAAUACUACAGGAUACAGAAGGGAACUCUUGGAACUCUAUGACAAAUUUACAAGCAAAUACCCAAACAUCACAGUUUCAGAACAAUGCAUAGCAGAUCAAAGAAGAGCCAUCAUCCACAGAAAUCUCAUA